rnacentral:rRNA from 1 species
GAUGAACGCUAGCGGGAGGCUUAACACAUGCAAGUCGUGGGGCAGCAUAGGGUAGCAAUACUCUGAUGGCGACCGGCGCACGGGUGAGUAACGCGUAUGCAACCUACCCUGUACUGGGGGAUAACCCGGAGAAAUUCGGACUAAUACCCCAUAAUGAUAUAAAGAGGCAUCUCUGAAUAUUUAAAGUUACGACGGUACGGGAUGGGCAUGCGUAAGAUUAGCUAGUUGGCAGGGUAACGGCCUACCAAGGCUUCGAUCUUUAGGGGUCCUGAGAGGGUGAUCCCCCACACUGGUACUGAGACACGGACCAGACUCCUACGGGAGGCAGCAGUGAGGAAUAUUGGUCAAUGGGCGCAAGCCUGAACCAGCCAUCCCGCGUGAAGGAAGAAGGCGCUAUGCGUUGUAAACUUCUUUUCCAGGGAAAUAAAAUUUCGUACGUGUACGGAACUGAAGGUACCCUGGGAAUAAGCAUCGGCUAACUCCGUG